rnacentral:lncRNA from 1 species
CUUGUCUCCAGGUGACUCUCUGUUUCUGUGAUGUAUGGAUGUGCAUUACCGAAGGAAAGGAACUGCCUGGCACUAAACUUUGAGCUGGGACAGAUGGGGAUGAGAGGCGGUGGGUUGCUUCGUCAACUCCUUUUCACGGAUGGAUCAGAGCCAUUACUUGUUCAGAUUAGCUGAGAAAUCUGGCACAAGGCAAUCUUCAGCUCCUGGCCAUUUUCUCCGCUAUUAAUUCACUACUGAGCAGAGGUUAUUCCUGAGGACUAUACUCAUCCUCUGGGGAGGAGUGAAGAAGUUAUUUCUGUCUGCAGAGUGCACUUCCCACUAUGUGGAACUAAUGCUCCAAGACUGGCUCGGCUCUGAAUGGUGUCUCUAAAUCCAGGGAAAGGAGAAAGCUGCUGCAACUGAGGGACCCAGACAUGUACUGCUGAAUGAAGAGACCCUGCAAACACUGCAGCCAAUGCCCGAGCCCUACUAGGGGCAAUUGUCAGAGAGCAAGUCUGCUGCAUGCUUUAGUCAUCAGGGAAAGCAAGAAAAUGAGCAUUCACUGGGAGAUUUAAUUCAUCAGCUCUGGUGGGAUUGUUGUGCGGACAAAAGAAACAUAUGAUUCCAGGGCGAAAGAUUUCCAGUUUGCUCUGAAGAUCAACCACACUGGGGCCCAAGUGCUGCCCAUGCUCCACAGCACAGUGCCCUGGUGAGUAUGCUCAACAUCUUCUGCUAAAGCUCUCAGGAUCCAUAUCUGGAAUCUCAAGAGCCCCUCGGAGAAAUUUUCCGAUGUGAGUUCAGUUAAAGUAUCCCUGUUGUUACUAAGCNCCCUGGUGAGUAUGCUCAACAUCUUCUGCUAAAGCUCUCAGGAUCCAUCUCUGGAAUCUCAAGAGCCCCUCGGAGAAAUUUUCCGAUGUGAGUUCAAUUAAAGUAUCCCUGUUGUUACUCAGCAGCAGCAGCAGCAGCCCCAUGACUCCAGCUUGCUCUUUGAGUCCUGCCUUUCUUACAUCACUCCAACUGGCAUUACAUGCAACCAAACAGGGAUCAUGUGAUGGUCAAUGCCACUGCUUGGACCAUUACUAAUUCCCAGUCUUGCUCUGUUGCAAUCAGCUGAAAAGUUCUGCUCUACAUAGCUCUUCUGAGUGAC